ACGAACGCUGGCGGCGUGCUUCACACAUGCAAGUCGAACGAUGAAGCGGGUGCUUGCACUCGUGGAUUAGUGGCGAACGGGCGAGUAACACGUGAGUAACCUGUCCUUUUCUUUGGGAUAACGGCUGGAAACGGCUGCUAAUACUGGAUAUUCAGGCUGCAUCGCAUGGUGUGGUUUGGAAAGGUUUUUUCUGGGAUUGGGUGGGCUCGCGGCCUAUCAGCUUGUUGGUGGGGUGAUGGCUUACCAAGGCUUUGACGGGUAGCCGGCCUGAGAGGGUGGUCGGUCGCACUGGGACUGAGAUACGGCCCAGACUCCUACGGGAGGCAGCAGUGGGGAAUACUGCACAAUGGACGAAAGUUUGAUGCAGCGACGCCGCGUGGAGGGUGUAGGCCUUCGGGUUGUGAACUCCUUUUUCUCGCGAAAAAGGCACAGUUUUGGCUGUGUUGAUGGUAGUGGGGGAAGAAGCGCCGGCUAACUACGUG
rnacentral:rRNA from 1 species